rnacentral:rRNA from 1 species
UACGUAGGGUGCAAGCGUUGUCCGGAAUUAUUGGGCGUAAAGAGCUCGUAGGCGGUGUGUCACGUCGGCCGUGAAAACCUGCAGCUUAACUGUGGGCGUGCGGUCGAUACGGGCAUCACUGGAGUUCGGCAGGGGAGACUGGAAUUCCUGGUGUAGCGGUGAAAUGCGCAGAUAUCAGGAGGAACACCGGUGGCGAAGGCGGCGAUCUGGGUAGAUACUGACGCUGAGGUGCGAAAGCGUGGGGAGCAAACAGG